rnacentral:lncRNA from 1 species
UUUAAUUUAGCUUAGAAAAGAAGGACCAGAAGUGAAAUUUUAGCUUGUCGACGGCUAGUCGGACACGAUGGCCACCGGUAAAGAUACUUUUUAUUAGGGUGAUCGACGUUCAUGAAACGGCCGAUGGUUUCUGAUUUCCUCCACGGCGGGUAUGAUGGAGAGAAGUCAAGAGGAACUAGAUGCUGUAUAGUUUCUUAAGUACUGCGGAAGUUGUGGGGUUGGCGAAAAAGUUUGAGCGAGGUUUGGAUGUCACCGGGAGAUGGUGGCAGUAAUAUGGCCCGGCGACGGCUGAAGAGGCUAAGAGACUGGGAGUGACCGCGAUAAAGUGGGAACUAUGACAGUUUUGAAGGCGUUCCUCAAAUGUUCUCUUCAUUUGCAAUUGAGAGGUUUGAGCUCUAUGUGUUUGUGAAAUUGCCUGAAUGAGUGCCAUUUACUUACGUGCUUCAUAGGUUUUCAGCCUUGUUGAAUUCAGUUUAACUUUCAAUUCUAGAGAAUCGAUCCUUGUAUCAGACAAUAUGAUCGAUAGGAGACACCAAUCUUACAGUAGAACAUAUUCACGACUCAUCCAUAAAAAACAAACUUAGAAAUCGCUUUAAUACUAUCACAAUACUCUUUUGAUAUAAACAAACUUACAAACAAACCCAUUAUAUCACAGGGAAGGAAACAUCUGUACUGUCUGGUAGGAGAUUUAUACUAUGAGAAACGCAAAGCAACAUCCAUUUCUCUCAAUUUCAGCCUUCUCAGUUUUCUUAUCUAUCUUGAACUUGCGGUAGAUGUGAAAUGCUCUAGGCUAGAAGGCAUACUUCGAGAGAUUCACAUGCAAUCAUAUACUCAUAACUACCCUUGGCAUCUGAUAUGUUCAUCAUUUGCUAUGUGGGAUCGAAGCUGAUAAAAGCUUCAGCGCGUCUGCCAUGGUUGGCCUAUCAGAUGAUCUGCUUCUGGUGCAGAGCAAAGCAACUUCAAGAGCUUGUUUUAUCUCCCUUUUAGUUGAAUCCAAAGUUACAGAUUCAUUCACACUGUACAUUUCUUUCAAUAGCACUUCCAUGGGCUUGUUCUGCGUACAGCUUCCAGCUUUAGUCAGUCUACCAUUACUCAAGAUCUCCAAGAUAAUCUCCCCAAAGCUGUAUAUAUCAUUGCAGAGCUCGUCCUUUAAGGGGCCAUUGAAUUCACCUAUUAAACAUAUAGUAAGGUAAUUAAGUACUGCAGGCUGCAUAUGACUUGUCAUACUAGAAUAAUGAUUCUGGUUUCAAAUCCAAAAGUCGAAUAAUACUGCUGCUAUUUCUUGAUUGCAAGGGACAAUUUUUUAGAAUCUAGUAGUCUGUUUGUUUUGUGUUGCUAGAAAACAACCAUCAACUUUCUGACUUGUACUAGUGUGAUUCCCAGAAUGUAAAAAGGUGACAUAGUUUUCUUUUCUUAGAAACGUUCUUGCAUUAUAUGACUUUUGACUAAAGGUAUGAUUUGUUUUCUACGCCUUUUCUGUCUCAAUUUCAGUAUGCUGCAUACAACUGGAGAUAACGUGCUACUAUAUAUAAUUUGUGAAGUUUACCUGUCUCUUUACCGGAAAGUAUUGUUGUAUACAUGCCACAACCAAUUUCUUCCAGGUACUUCAAUCCGAAUCGUACUAAACGUGGUUCCAUGUUUUCCUCAAAGACGAUGUUGCUUGAGCUCAGAUCUCCAUGGGGAAUCGCAGGGUAGCAAUCAUGAUGAAGAAAGCAGAGUCCUCUGGCAAUCCCAAUUAUAAGUUUCAACUUGGUUGCCCAAUGACUCUUAGUGGUUAUCUUCUCGGUCAAAGUUCCAUUCGGGAAGUAAUCAUACAAAAGGUAAGCUAGAUGCUUGUUAUGGCAAACCCCAAGCAAUCUAGUCAGAUUUUUGUGUCUCACGUUUCCAAUUCGCACUAUGAACUCCAUGCUGACUUUCAUUGUCUUUGCCUCCAGCUCAACCCUUUUCACUGAAACUGUUAUUCCUGUGGGAAGAUUUGCUUGCCAAACAGUGGCUGACAAAGGAGGCACUGGCUUGAUUGAUUCUGU